rnacentral:lncRNA from 1 species
GUCUAAGGUAAUAGGACAUUAAGUGCUUCUUUUAAUUUAGGCUGUAUGAUUCUUUUCUUCCUUUUUUCUCUUAACAUAAAAACACUAACAUUUUUAUUUAUUCAUCUAUUUAUUAUUUAUUUUUAGAAACAGGAUCUCACUAUGUUGCCCAAGCUGGUCUCAAACUCCUGAGCUCAAGUGAUCCUCCUGCCUCAGCCUCCUGAGUAGCUGGGACUGGAGGCACGCGCCACUUCUAUGCUUGGCAGCACAGUCCUCUUCAAAAAGAACCCUGCCAUGGUCUGUGCUGCUGACAAGCCUGGACUCUGCAUCCUCCUGCUGUCUUCAGUUUCCUCACCUCUUAACACAGGUUGGUUACUAUGGAGAUCAUGACAUCAGUCAUCUUGACUAAGCUUAAUGGUCUUGAGGCAACAUUCAGACUAAAAGUUUUGAUACUUAAAGUGGCUCAACCCUGGAGAAUGAGAGCAGAUUGAGAACUGAGGACUGUGGGCUUCAAGCUGCUUCUCUAAUGGAACACAGAGGUGAAAGGCAGUCCCUGCCCACUCGACCAAGGCCACGUGGGGCAGCCCUUUGGGAGGACCGCGCCCCCGGCUAACCAGGCAGAUAACGGGUUGCAAGAAGGUUUUUUGAGUCUGAAAAGCCUGACUGUUAUGCAUCAAAAGUCAAAGUUGAUGCUUCCAAUGACAGAUGCAGAAGAACACAUGGGGACAGCGAGCCCACUGUCUGAGGACCAGGAGGAGGAAAGCCAGAGGGGAAGAAGGAGAAAUCAGUGCAGCGCAGCCCUCUCCUUCCUCUGGCUAAGGCCAGGAAAGUGGAAGGAAGGGGGCAGGAUCCCUACAAAGAUUUUGGAGAAUACAGGAAGGAGACUGCCUCACAAGGGAGACUCUACUGCCACCUUGUCCUGGGAAGAGUCCAGUGGAGAUGGCUGAGGGAACUUCCUGGAUGAGGAAGGAAAUGAGGCAGCAAUGAGCUUCUGAAAGCCCAAAGCAAGGAAAGCGGAGAGGAAGAGAGCACGUAGCUCCAGGGAACACAAGGCCACACUCAGACUGGCCUCAAGGCUGUGAGGAUGGGAUUCUUCUGCAGCAAGCAGUGAGGGCUGCGGGGGCCUGGAUGCCAGGACAAGGGGUGACUUUGCCUGAGGACAAAAGCUGAUGUUCUGAACUCAGGAUUCCUGUGAGGACAGGCACUACCCAAGCAGCAGGUACCUCCCCUCCCAGCCUCCUCCCCGCCUGCCACGAUGCCAUGACAUUCCAUGUCCAUGAGCUCCUGAGAACUUGGAUGUCUUUCCUACCUGCCUAAAAACAUGAAAGAAGAAAUCUCCCAAAUGGACUCAAUGUAAACAUUAAAUGAUUAAAUUUACCCAGAAUUGAUGGAGGUUACUUUUACUCCCAUCAGGUGGAAUAAAGGCUCAAAGCAGAGACUCAGCUCAAUUAGAAAAAAAUAGGAAAAUAAAAGAUGUAUCCUUUUGCACACCUGGUUACUUGUCUUAAAAAUCUGUAUCUGACAUAAAAAAGAGGGUUUGUUGUAUAUCUCUGUACUCUGUAUGUUGCUUAGAUAAAGCAACAUAUUGCCAAGAGAAAUCAUCUUUUUCAAUUCAGGAAUCACAAGUUUUCAUUUUCAAAUUCUAAAACUUUAUGCUUUUUGAUUAAAGAGAUAGUAACUUUACCUUUGACUGAGCAAUACCAUUUCCAGGAAUUUGUUCAAAGGAAAUCAAAACAAAUGUGCUGAAAAAUAAUAAG